rnacentral:rRNA from 1 species
UGGAGGAUAAUCUCGGGAACUGAGGAUAAUACUCCAUAGAUCUAGGAUGCUGGAAUGCAUCUAGAUUGAAAGCUCCGGCGCCUAAGGAUGAGUCUGCGGACUAUCAGGUUGUAGUCAGGGUAAAGACCUGACUAGCCUACGACGGAUACGGGUUGUGAGAGCAAUAACCCGGAGACGAUAUCUGAGACACGAUAUCGGGCCCUACGGGGCGCAGCAGGCGCGAAAACUUCACACUGUGCGAAAGCGCGAUGAGGGAAUCCCAAGUGUUUGCUCGUAAGAGUAAACUGUUUCUUUGUUUAAAACGCAGAGAGAGUAAGGGCUGGGUAAGACGGGUGCCAGCCGCCGCGGUAAUACCUGCAGCUCAAGUGGUGAUCAUUAUUAUUGGGCCUAAAACGUCCGUAGCCGGUUUAGUAAAUGCCUGGGUAAAUCGUGUAGCUUAACUAUACGACUUCCGGGUAGACUGCUAAACUUGAGACCGGGAGAGGCUAGAGGUACUCCUGGGGUAGAGGUGAAAUUCUGUAAUCCUAGGGGGACCACCAGUGGCGAAGGCGUCUAGCUAGAACGGGUCUGACGGUGAGGGACGAAGCCCUGGGGCACAAACCGGAUUAGAUACCCGGGUAGUCCAGGGCGUAAACGCUGCUUGCUUGAUGUUAGUUGGGCUCCGAGCCCAACUAGUGUCGGAGAGAAGUUGUUAAGCAAGCUGCCUGGGAAGACG